rnacentral:rRNA from 1 species
AGAGGGCAAGUCUGGUGCCAGCAGCCGCGGUAAUUCCAGCUCUGCACGCAUAUGCGAGAUUUGUUGCAUUUAAAAAGCUCGUAGUCGGACGGUUCCACAAUUUUGUCGAUUGGACACUGCAUGUGCUGCAUAAUUUUGUCUACCUAACUAAGGAGGCAACAAAAUUUUUGUUAGUUCACUACAGUGCUCUUAAUAUUGACUAGUUGUGGACAAACGCAAGCUCCUGAU